GUGCUAUAUGCAGAACUGCGUUAGACCAUGUCAGUAUUAAUUCAAAGUUUUUAUGCAUACACAUCCUAACAAGACAGACAUUUUGCAAUAAACCUCAAGACUUAUUCGGUAAAAUCAUAACAAGGCAUUUUCUCAAUGUGCAUUCUAAAGCAUUUUUAUUGGUGAGAUUCUAUCAAUGAUUUUUUUUCAGUCAGUUGGAAAAAAUAAUUGUGAUCAUAUGUAAGCUGUAAGUAAACAGCACCUUUCACAAUGCGGAAUGCAAUUCAGUGACCGCUGUAGCUCCCAGGAUGUCCAGAAGGCACCAUCCGACAAAGUAAACGUGAGGGAUCCAGUUCAGAAUGUCCGUCCUGUUGAACGCCUAAGCUCUUCAGAAUAAGUGAUUUUCAGAUGGAGUUAACAACUGUUACUCACAUCGAAGAAAGAGACUGUGAGUGAGGGCAAGAGUGGAAAGGACCUGCAGGCACUGCAGGAUAGGAGGACGUGAAAACAACAGCAGAGACUGAGAAGACAUGAGUUGUUCUGUGCUCACAGUAAAAUCAUUGGGAUUCUUGCCAUGAAUGCAGAACUGAGUUGCUCUUUCAGCAUUUCAGUACCCAUCACCAUAUUAUCUAGGCGCCGUAAGAUUAAGGAGCUCAACAUGAUCUGCUCAGAGGUCAUUAGCAGAGCCUUUCAUACUGGAGAAGGUCGGAGGAGAGUAAGGAAGUGCACAGCAGAAGAAAAGAAAAAGGAAAAGGAGGUGGUAAGCCAUUUUAGUUGUGCUCAUCCUGUGUGGCUUGCUUAGCUAGUACGGAAAAUAUCAGAGCCUCAUGACAGCUGUAUUUAUUCUGAUACGAGGACUAUAGGACUUGUUGUUACACUACUGUUAUAUCAGAAAGUUGUCUUACAUGGCCCACAGUUUGAAUCUUUAUGAUUUCUGUAUAUUGCUGCCUCACAACAAGAUAACUCAAAAACUCCUGGCAGAAAGCAAACACUGCAUCUCCGAGAGCCACUUUCUCCAAACUAAUAGGUUAAAAUUUGAUUUCUGGCUUACCAUGUGAGUCCUACAAGCAUUUUAUGCUUUAGGAAGCAAAGAGGGUGUUUUCCAACAUGCACAAAGUUACAUGGGAUCCAUGGAAACAGAAGACCCAAACUGGUUUCCACUGAAGACACUUGCUAUAGACUCUUUCAUUGCCAUGAGCACGUGCUGAGGACAGCCUGGGAAUCUUGCUCUUUGGAAAGGUGACGCUGUCUGUACUGUGACUGAUGCAGCCUGUUGUUACUGUUUCAAGAAAUACAUUAGUAGGAGAAAAACCUGCCAAAGUUCUUUUUUCUUCACCACUACAAUUAGGAAGGCUGGUGCAGUCCUGCUGAGACCAAUGGCGGUAUGCUGACGUGCUCAAACGAAUCCACUGAGGGUCUUUUCUACCACUUUGGUACAAAAACACCAGGGGAUUUACACUAGGGGAUAAAUAGGUAGUUCCAAAGCAAGAAGGAAAGAGCCAAAGUUGGAAGCUAACCACAGUACGUGGGAGUAAGCGAUUACCAAAGGCUUCCAGUAACUCUGCUAUCAUCAGAGACUGGCUUUAUGGGUAUGGCCUCAAGAAGUUUCCCUCCACUUAAUUAAAGAGGCAGAUAAGUAUCUAGGUGGAGUGUGCAGAUAGGUUCUGAAUGAGUUAUCCACUAAGACUGGUUCACUGCACCUAUUGUUAAAGCCAAAAUAUAAUAUCAGAUUAAUGCAUUAUAUUUGCCUAUUAUAGCACUAUGUCAUCAUUAUAUGACAUGUUAUAAUUAAAGCCUGCGUUAGAAACAAAACUAUUUGGCUUGGGAUAAGUUGCCUUUAUAACUUCUGUGGUUAUGAUUUCCUCCUUUUCUUAACCCCUUAAAAUGGCAUAAUAUAGCUAUUUGUAACUGUAUAAAGAAAGUUUCUAGUUUCAGAUUCUAAUCUCAGGUAAUUCAAUGUAAAUAAAGCCAAAAUCUGGCACA
rnacentral:lncRNA from 1 species